rnacentral:rRNA from 1 species
AUUGAACGCUGGCGGCAGGCCUAACACAUGCAAGUCGGACGGUAGCACAGAGGAGCUUGCUCCUCGGGUGACGAGUGGCGGACGGGUGAGUAAUGUCUGGGGAUCUGCCCGAUAGAGGGGGAUAACCACUGGAAACGGUGGCUAAUACCGCAUAACGUCGCAAGACCAAAGAGGGGGACCUUCGGGCCUCUCACUAUCGGAUGAACCCAGAUGGGAUUAGCUAGUAGGCGGGGUAACGGCCCACCUAGGCGACGAUCUCUAGCUGGUCUGAGAGGAUGACCAGCCACACUGGAACUGAGACACGGUCCAGACUCCUACGGGAGGCAGCAGUGGGGAAUAUUGCACAAUGGGCGCAAGCCUGAUGCAGCCAUGCCGCGUGUAUGAAGAAGGCCUUCGGGUUGUAAAGUACUUUCAGCGGGGAGGAAGGCGAUGUGGUUAAUAACCGCAUUGAUUGACGUUACCCGCGGAAGAAGCACCGGCUAACUCCGUGCCAGCCGCCGCGGUAA